GACGGGGGAUGCAAGUGUUAUCCGGAAUCACUGGGCGUAAAGCGUCUGCAGGUGGUUUCCUAAGUCCACUGUUAAACCUUGAGGCUCAACCUCAAAUCUGCAUUGGAAACUAGGAGACUUGAGUAUAGUAGGGGUAGAGGGAAUUUCCAAUGGAGCGGUGAAAUGCGUAGAUAUUGGAAAGAACACCGAUGGCGAAGGCAGCCCCCUGGGCUGACACUGACGCUCAGGCACGAAAGCGUGGGGAGCAAACAGG
rnacentral:rRNA from 1 species